rnacentral:tRNA from 1 species
UUGGUCUUGUUAACCAAAAAUGAAGUCUAAACCCUUCUUAGAGCA